rnacentral:tRNA from 1 species
ACCUGGCUGGCUCAGUCAGAAAAGCAUGUGACUCUUGAUCUCGGGGUUGUGAGUUCGAGUCCCACACUAGGUG